rfam:Brachypodium distachyon strain Bd21 chromosome 2, whole genome shotgun sequence.
GUUGUACUCCCUCCAUACAACAAAAGAUGUCUCAAGUUUGUCAAAAUUUGGAUGUAUCUAGACAUGACUUAGUGUAUAGAUACGUUCAAAUUUAUUCAAAGUUGAGACAUCCUUUGUUGUACGGAGGAAUAGUACCCG